GAAAACGGGAACUAUCUGGAGAAACGAAAUUUUUGCAGAAGGGAAGGAACGGGAUUUUUCAAAAAGGAACGGGAAAAAUAAAACGUAUUCAUAAUGCGCGCCCACAUGUAAUAUUUAUAGAAUAAUUAGGCAGUUUAUUACUGUUAGGACGCGUCAAAACUAUGUAGUAUUAAUAAUAACUUAAAACAAAAUCUGAUAAUUUAUAUAUCA
rnacentral:lncRNA from 1 species